AGGCCAAACUAUUACUCUUCUUCAUGUCAAAAUCAAACAAUCCUCGUCUUCUCUUCCCUAUUCCGGAUCUAACCUGUCUAAGUCAGGCGAUGAUGCAUCCGAUUUGUUUCUUCCCUUCCGUUGCUUCUGUGCUAGAAAAGAGAUCAUAUGCCAAGAUGUGGUUGUGGAGGACGUUAGUGCGGCUAAAGGAA